rnacentral:rRNA from 1 species
CGGGUGAGUAACGCGUAUCCAACCUUCCCAUAACUACGGGAUAACCCGUUGAAAGACGGCCUAAUACCGUAUGACAUCGUUUGCUGACAUCAAAUAACGAUUAAAGGUUUAGCGGUUAUGGAUGGGGAUGCGUCUGAUUAGCUUGUUGGCGGGGUAACGGCCCACCAAGGCGACGAUCAGUAGGGGUUCUGAGAGGAAGGUCCCCCACAUUGGAACUGAGACACGGUCCAAACUCCUACGGGAGGCAGCAGUGAGGAAUAUUGGUCAAUGGGCGAGAGCCUGAACCAGCCAAGUAGCGUGCAGGAUGACGGCCCUAUGGAUUGUAAACUGCUUUUAUGUGGGGAUAAAGUGCGUGACGUGUCAUGCAUUGCAGGUACCACAUGAAUAAGGACCGGCUAAUUCCGUGCCAGCAGCCGCGGUAAUACGGAAGGUCCGGGCGUUAUCCGGAUUUAUUGGGUUUAAAGGGAGCGUAGGCUGUCUAUUAAGCGUGUUGUGAAAUUUACC